UGCAAUCAAUAGAGUCGUUACUGUUUCCGGUUGUUUUGUGUGACCUGCAGGUUAUGGCGGCCAUGUUAGAACUUCUGGAAUAAGUUGCGAAACCUUAACAAACAAUGACAAAUAAAGCAACCAAGAUAACAUGAUCAGAGGAUGCUCACAGACAAGAACAUUUAUGACGUGCCGUAAUACCAUCUACUCCUCGGUUGUCCACAAACUAACUCUCUACUGAAUGGUUCAUUUAGUCUCCUGGGGAUGGCUGCCGACACCAACAUCUUCACCGAUAAGCAGACCAAUAACUGGUUCAAAGCGUGCAUUGCCCUCAAUUUGACAAAGGAUGGAUUGACUGACUUUGUUUUGACGGAAUUAUUAAACGUUCAAACAAUAGUUGGUAGAAGUUGUGGACAAUGCUUUAUUCAAAACCUUAUACCGUGUCCAACUCAUUAUGUGUGUAAAAAGAGGAAAGGAAAUAACUGUUCUUUCCACAAUUCACAACAACGAAAGUCAUGUCAAACAUGUGAUAAUGUGAAACAAGAUAUCACAUUGUUACACAGAUUUGAACGUCCUAGUUGGGCAAACACUAAAGCUGAAUUAUGGGCGACGGAUCCGUGGGAAAUCGGUUAAUGCUACCUCCCACCGGACGGAUAUAGCAGCGUAUCAUCUGUGCAAGAAUCUGACUUUAAUGGUGUGGUUAGCAUUGUGUUGAACUGCAAGCAUUUCGAGACAUGCCUCUCCGCCGCAUGUCUAUCACCGCCUCCACCUGAUAAGAAAUGCCCGCUAGAAAAGGUUCGACAAAUAGGCCGAGAUGUACGCCACACUGGUGACUGCAAAGUUACAGAUGCUGAUCUGCAGUACUUCUAUCUGACACUGACCACCCUACUUGCUGAUCCAGUCCGCUUAUUGCAUGAUACCUCAGCGACAGAAGCGCGCAGGAAACUCAGUGAUGUAAAUUUAUUGUGUUUGUGUUGUUUGUUGUUAUAUAAAGACGUAUAUUUAAUAUAUAAAGAAUGCUUGCAAGGAAUAUGUGUACUACAAGGUGUUUGAUUGUGUCAUUAGAAAAUUACGCUUGAACUCUUUUUAAUGGAAAUAUGAACAUCAGUGCUUUUGUCCGUUGUCCGUCGUGCGUUGUCUUGUUGUGCGACGUCAACAUUU